GACAGAGGGUGCAAACGUUGUUCGGAAUUACUGGGCGUAAAGCGUGCGCAGGCGGCGCGUUAAGACAGGUGUGAAAGCCCCGAGCUUAACUUGGGAAUUGCGCUUGUGACUGGCGUGCUGGAGUGUGGCAGAGGGAGGUGGAAUUCCACGUGUAGCAGUGAAAUGCGUAGAGAUGUGGAGGAACACCGGUGGCGAAGGCGGCAUCCUGGACCGACACUGACGCUGAGGAGCGAAAGCCAGGGGAGCAAACGGG
rnacentral:rRNA from 1 species